CACUCUGGAGAGACCGGUUCACUCCGGCGCCGAAGGGGCAUGAAGCGCAUCCCUCCCCCGCGCUUUGAACUCUCAGGCAAAAGGACAGAGGG
rnacentral:ncRNA from 2 species